rnacentral:rRNA from 1 species
AUUGAACGCUAGCGGGAUGCUUUACACAUGCAAGUCGAACGGCAGCGCGGACUUCGGUCUGGCGGCGAGUGGCGAACGGGUGAGUAAUGUAUCGGAACGUGCCCAGUAGCGGGGGAUAACUACGCGAAAGCGUAGCUAAUACCGCAUACGCCCUACGGGGGAAAGCAGGGGAUCGUAAGACCUUGCACUCUUGGAGCGGCCGAUAUCGGAUUAGCUAGUUGGUGAGGUAACGGCUCACCAAGGCGACGAUCCGUAGCUGGUUUGAGAGGACGACCAGCCACACUGGGACUGAGACACGGCCCAGACUCCUACGGGAGGCAGCAGUGGGGAAUUUUGGACAAUGGGGGCAACCCUGAUCCAGCCAUCCCGCGUGUGCGAUGAAGGCCUUCGGGUUGUAAAGCACUUUUGGCAGGAAAGAAACGUCGCGGGCUAAUACCCCGUGGAACUGACGGUACCUGCAGAAUAAGCACCGGCUAACUACGUG